UGGGGAAUAUUGGGCAAUGGGCGCAAGCCUGACCCAGCAACGCCGCGUGAAGGAAGAAGGUUUUCGGAUUGUAAACUUCUGUCCUAAGUGACGAAGGAAGUGACGGUAGCUUAGGAGGAAGCCCCGGCUAACUACGUGCCAGCAGCCGCGGUAAUACGUAGGGGGCGAGCGUUGUCCGGAAUGACUGGGCGUAAAGGGCGUGUAGGCGGCUUUUUAAGUCUGAAGUGAAAGUCCUGCUUUCAAGGUGGGAAUUGCUUUGGAGACUGGAAGGCUUGAGUGCGGAAGAGGUAAGUGGAAUUCCCAGUGUAGCGGUGAAAUGCGUAGAGAUUGGGAGGAACACCAGUGGCGAAGGCGACUUACUGGGCCGUAACUGACGCUGAGGCGCGAAAGCGUGGGGAGCGAACAGG
rnacentral:rRNA from 1 species